AGAGAGAGACAUGCGCGCAUAUCAAUAAGCGGAGGAAAAGAAACUAACAAGGAUUCCCCUAGUAACGGCGAGUGAAGCGGGAAGAGCUCAAAUUUGAAAUCUUAAAGGGUUUCCCUUUACGAAUUGUAGUUUAAAGAAGUGUUUUCUGUUGAAGGUUUUCGGUAAAAGUUCUUUGGAAUAGGACAUCAUAGAGGGUGAGAAUCCCGUAUUUGACCGUUACUUUUCAGCUGUGUGAUACACUUUCAAAGAGUCGGAUUGUUUGGGAAUGCAGUCCAAAAUGGGUGGUAAAUUUCAUCUAAAGCUAAAUAUUGGCGAGAGACCGAUAGCGAACAAGUACCGUGAGGGAAAGAUGAAAAGAACUUUGAAAAGAGAGUUAAACAGUACGUGAAAUUGUCAAAAGGGAAGCGUUUGACACCAGUGUUGUUUUUCUGAAAAUCAAUUAAAGAACUGUUUAUGCUAAGUUGUUUAGACUUUAUCAGCUAACUGUUUAGUUUUGAGCUUUUCUUUAAUGCACUUUUCAGUUAACAAGUCAACAUCAAUUUCUUUUGCUGUAAAAAAGCUUGAGGAAGGUGGCUUGAGAUUCGUCUUAAGUGUUUAUAGCCUCUUGCCUAUGCAGUCGGAGAGAUUGAGGUCUGCAGCGUAGAUCCUUCGGGGCUAAAUGCAUUUGUGCUAAGUUAUAGCAUUUUAUAGACAACUUGUUGACUAUGAUUUGUCUUGUAGCUUACUCGCUUAUGUUAUUUUACCUACGCUUAGGAUGUUGAGCGCAUGUCUCUCUCU
rnacentral:rRNA from 1 species